GGGGAUAUAGCUCAGUGGCACUGCAUCUGCCUCACAAGCGGAAGGUCCUGAGUUCGAUCCCCAGUACCA
rnacentral:tRNA from 1 species